rnacentral:lncRNA from 1 species
CCUUGCCUACCAAUUUCCGUGCAAAAUAUCUUCCAACAACCCUCGCCGGAAUCUGUCUCGGGGCAGUGCGAUUCAAAUCCGUGUGGCAGGUAUGAUCCAUCACCACCUUGAUCACUCUCCAGAUCGAUGCACUCUGAACGGCUCGCAGCAUAAACGGACAAUCGUUGUCAUGCUUGCAAACAAACCACAAACGGGUCGUACUGGAACGAUCCACGGCGUACUCCACGUGAUUCUCCAUAUGGUACAGGCCAACAG